rnacentral:rRNA from 1 species
UCAAACUUGAGAGUUUGAUCCUGGCUCAGAAUGAACGCUGGCGGCAUGCCUAACACAUGCAAGUCGAACGAGACCUUCGGGUCUAGUGGCGCACGGGUGCGUAACGCGUGGGAAUCUGCCCUUGGGUUCGGAAUAACAGUUGGAAACGACUGCUAAUACCGGAUGAUGACGUAAGUCCAAAGAUUUAUCGCCCAAGGAUGAGCCCGCGUAGGAUUAGCUAGUUGGUGAGGUAAAGGCUCACCAAGGCGACGAUCCUUAGCUGGUCUGAGAGGAUGAUCAGCCACACUGGGACUGAGACACGGCCCAGACUCCUACGGGAGGCAGCAGUGGGGAAUAUU